CCUACGGGUGGCAGCAGUGAGGAAUAUUGGUCAAUGGCCGGAAGACUGAACCAGCCAUGCCGCGUGAAGGUCAGUGCACUAUGGGCGUUAAACUUCUUUUGUGCAGGAGCAAUAAUGGUCACGUGUGGCCCGACGAGAGUACCGUACGAAUAAGCAUCGGCUAACUCCGGGCCAGCCGCCGCGGUCAUACGGGGGAUUCCAGCGUUAUCCGGGUUUAUUGGGGUUUAAGGGUGCGUAGGCUGGUAGGUAAGUCAGCGGUGAAAUGCCCCCGCUCAAAGGGGUGAAGUGCCAUUGAUACUGCCUUGCUGGAAUGCGGAUGCCGUAGGAGGAAUGUGUGGUGUAGCGGUGAAAUGCAUAGAUAUCACACAGAACACCGAUUGCGAAGGCAGCUCACGAAUCCGCGAUUGACGCUGAUGCACGAAAGCGUGGGUAUCAAACAGGAUUAGAUACCCGAGUAGUC
rnacentral:rRNA from 1 species